ACUGGUAACUGGGAUGAAGGCGUAACAAGGUAGCCGUAGGGGAACCUGCGGCUGGAUCACCUCCUUUCUAUGGAGCAAGU
rnacentral:rRNA from 1 species